ACAGUAAACCAUACAUUUUUUAAACCGCCGUGUGUUUUUACAACGUAAAAUGUUAACCAUCUGCUUCAUAAGAACUGCAACGGUUCAUGAAAUAUCGUUGUGAAAGCUGUCUCGUGUUGACUACUAAACGCGUUUUGUCUGAUUGUCCCUUGGAGCUUGCCGUAGCCACAUGAGCGCCCAAUGUUUUCAAGAUGGCUUGCAGUAAAAGCAGGUGUCUAAACUCCAUUAGUCAGGUGCUUCUGACUCUUCUUAUACUUCGCUGUCUACUGUGUCACUCCAGGCCUCACUGUUAUGACAGUAAACCGCUUUCAGAAAUAUCCAAAGAGAUUUUUAAGUACUCUGACAUCGCUCAGCGAAUCAUAAACCUAGCAGUAUAUGGCAAGGCUCAGAACCGUUCCUAUGAGAGGCUGGCUGAGUUCACUGACACUGUUGGAAACAGAGUCAGUGGCUCUAAGAACCUAGACCUGGCCAUUAAGUACAUGUACAAUGCCCUGACACGGGACGGACUGGAGAAUGUGCAUCUAGAGCAAGUGAAGAUCCCUCACUGGGUGCGGGGGGAGGAGAGCGCGGUGAUGCUUCUACCGAGAAACCACACUUUAGCCAUACUCGGGCUUGGUAGUAGUGUUGGAACUCCUCUAGGAGGUAUAGAGGCAGAGGUAAUGGUGGUGGAGUCUUUUGAAGAGCUCAAAAAGAGAGCGAGUGAGGCUAAAGGGAAAAUCGUUGUGUAUAACCAGCCGUUUGUCAGCUAUGGGGAGACCGUAGCCUAUCGGGCUUCAGGGGCCUCAGAGGCUGCUAAAGUUGGAGCCGUGGCUUCACUUAUCCGUUCAGUAACUCCGUUCUCCAUCAACAGCCCCCACACUGGCUGGCAGUGGUACCAGCCUGGAGUGCCUCAGAUCCCCACUGCCUGCAUCACUGUCGAGGAUGCCCAGAUGAUGGCCAGGAUGGCCCGCAGAGGCCAGAGGAUUGUGGUGCGUCUGACUAUGGGGGCCCAAACACUGCCAGAUGUUGACUCCUACAACACUGUGGCUGAAAUCACAGGAAGCAAGCAUCCUGAACAGGUGGUGCUGCUCAGUGGUCACCUGGACAGCUGGGACGUGGGCCAGGGCGCUAUGGAUGAUGGAGGUGGGGUCGCCAUUUCCUGGGAAGCACUUUCUUUGAUCAGAGACUUAGGGCUGCGUCCCAAAAGAACACUGAGGACGGUGCUGUGGUCCGCAGAGGAGCCAGGCGGGGUGGGAGCAGCUCAGUACUUCCAACAGCACAAAGUAAACAUCUCGAACUUUGACCUGGUAAUGGAGUCUGACCUGGGCACCUUCAGUCCUCUGGGACUGCAGUUCACUGGCAGUGACAAAGCUCGGGCAAUCAUGAAGGAGGUGAUGAAACUGUUGGCUCCCAUCAAUGUCACGUCGCUUGAAGAACAUGGAGAGGGAACAGACAUUAACAUGUGGAUGAAGGCUGGGGUUCCAGGCGCCAGCCUGCACACUGCAGACCAGAGGUACUUCUGGUUCCACCACAGCGACGGUGACACAAUGAGCGUCCAAAACCCAGAGGAGAUGAACCUGUGUUCUGCUGUUUGGGCUGUGGUGGCCUAUGUGGUCGCUGACCUAGAGGAAAUGCUCCCCAGAUAGUGAGUCACUCACAAACGACUGAACAAACCCCUGUCCAUCAGCUUACAGCAGUCGGUCGAUCACACCAUUACCUUGAGAAUUCUCUAUCAGCCUGAGAUUUUUUUUUGUGGUUUGACUUCAUCAUAACCUCAGGGUGUAUGUAGCUGCUCAAGACCAGACUGAUUC